CGAGCUUUGGAAGUUUCUCGAAAAUCAGGAUUUUUGGGUGGGAAGUUUCAUAACCUUCUUUCUCAUUCAAUUGCUGCCAAAACAAUUGAGAGAGAGAUCAAUUAUCAAGAACGAUCGAGAGAGAGAGAGAUAAAUAAGGUUUUUAUUGGGUGGUUUGUAUCAAAUCUUCUCAGCUUUCAUCACCGACCCUAAAAACUUGGGUUCGUCAUCAGGGUGAGCGGAUUCUGGAUUUUGACCGACGAUCUACCCAUAAAAGAAAGUGAGAAAGAGAGAAAAAUCGGCUUCUUCGUCGCUGGACUGGUCUGAGGCAGACGAAGAAUAGGGGGCCACCAAAAAACUUGGACGAUCGAGUUCAAUGUGUAGAACCACUGAAUACAUGGCUCCUGAAAUUCUGCUGUCUAACAAAGAUGCUAAGUGGUUCUACACAUUGAGGAGCCAUGUGUAUACCAAUGCUCCACCAAUCUGCAUCUUUGUUGUGGCAACAAAGAUGCAGAUUGGUGGAGCAUUGGUAUACUUUUGUAUGAGAUGCUAAGUGGUCAGGGACUGUGUUUCAAUUAAGUUGGCCUGUUUACUUAUCAAGUUUGAGCCACAUUCGGUUUUUUAGUCAAGGAAAGCAUCAAUCAAGGUAAUACUUCAAAUAAAAUAGUUUCAUCUCUGUUCUGAUAUCUUUUAGCAAGCAUGUUAGACCUUUAAUAGUGUUUUUUUCUAUCUUGGCAAACUGUGUCCUUGAAUAUUGUAAAUAAUGUACUCAAUUUGUAGUGAUUCAAAAUCUUCAAUGAUAGGUAAAUUCCUUUUGUGAAGAAUGAAGAAUAGGUGUUCUUUUUUGUUGUUUCAUGUGUAAAUUAUAUUAUGUUUUAAGUUGUUGAUGGACAUCAUACAUUGCCUGUAAAAAAUGAUUCAGUUAUAGUUAAGGUCUGCUGACACUUCUGUAUUUGUUGUUAAUUAAGAUCAUACAUUUUCUAUUUUUGUUGUUCCCUUUGCUGUUAAAGAAUCUGUUAUGGUCACUUAGCUAGCGCUUAAAGAAUAUGCAUGAAUUUCUGUCUGGCCAGAUAUUUGGUUCAAUAUGGUACAUUAAUUUUGGUCGUGGUCAUUUGAAUUUGCCUGUAAUGCAGUAAAUACACAAAAAAGAAAAAGG